UUAAAGUUGUUGCAGUUCAAAAGCUCGUAGUUGAACUUCAGACCUGGUCGAGUGGUCCGCCUAACGGUGUGUACUGCUUGACUGGGCCUUACCUCUUGGUGAGCCGGCGUGCCCUUUAUUGGUGUGCGUCGGGGAACCAGGACUUUUACCUUGAGAAAAUUAGAGUGUUCAAAGCAGGCCUAUGCCCGAAUACAUUAGCAUGGAAUAAUA
rnacentral:rRNA from 1 species